CUCAGGAUGAACGCUAGCUACAGGCUUAACACAUGCAAGUCAGGGGCAGCAUGAUCGAAGCUGCUUGAUUGAUGGCGACCGGCGCACGGGUGAGUAACGCGUAUCCAACCUUCCCUAUAGUAGAGAAUAGCCCGGCGAAAGUCGGAUUAAUGCUCUAUGUUGAUUUAGAAGACAUCUGAAGAAUACCAAAGGUUUACCGCUAUAGGAUGGGGAUGCGUCUGAUUAGGUUGUUGGCGGGGUAACGGCCCACCAAGCCCACGAUCAGUAGGGGUUCUGAGAGGAAGGUCCCCCACAUUGGAACUGAGACACGGUCCAAACUCCUACGGGAGGCAGCAGUGAGGAAUAUUGGUCAAUGGACGAAAGUCUGAACCAGCCAAGUAGCGUGCAGGAUGACGGCCCUAUGGGUUGUAAACUGCUUUUAUACAGGGAUAAAGUGAGGGACGUGUCCCUUUUUGUAGGUACUGUAUGAAUAAGGACCGGCUAAUUCCGUGCCAGCCGCAGC
rnacentral:rRNA from 1 species